AGCAGCCGCGGUAAUUCCAGCUCCAAUAGCGUAUAUUAAAGUUGUUGCAGUUAAAAAGCUCGUAGUUGAAUUUCGGGGUUUAUCCGUUGGUCGGGCUUUUUGGUCUGUACUGGCGUGAUGGAUUCCUACCUUCUGAAUAACCGGCAUGCCAUUAAUUUGGUGCGCCGGGGAAGCAGGACUGUUACCUUGAAAAAAUUAGAGUGCUUAAAGCAGGCUUAUGCCUGAAUACAUUAGCAUGGAAUAAUGAAAUAGGACGCAUGGUUCUAUUUUGUUGGUUUCUAGGAUCACCGUAAUGAUUAAUAGGGAUAGUUGGGGGCAUUAGUAUUCAAUUGUCAGAGGUGAAAUUCUUGGAUUUAUUGAAGACUAACUUCUGCGAAAGCAUUUGCCAAGGAUGUUUUCAUUAAUCAAGAACGAAAGUUAGGGGAUCGAAGACGAUCAGAUACCGUCGUAGUCUUAACCAUAAACUAUGCCGACUAGGGAUCGGACGAUGUUAAUUUUUUAAUGACUCGUUCGGCGCCUU
rnacentral:rRNA from 1 species